AUUGAACGCUGGCGGCAGGCCUAACACAUGCAAGUCGGGCGAGAGGCGGACGGGUGAGUAAUGUAUGGGGAUCUGACUGAUGGCGGGGGAUAACUACUGGAAACGGUAGCUAAUACCGCAUACCAUCAGAGGACCCCAUAUGGGAUUAGCUAGUAGGUAAGGUAACGGCUUACCUAGGCGACGCUCCCUAGCUGGUCUGAUAGGAUGCGCAGCAACACUGUGACUGAGACACGGCCCCAACUCCUACGGUAUGCAGCAGUGGGGAAUAUUGCACAAGUGGCUCAAGCCUGAUGCAGCCAUGCCGCGUGUAUGAAGAAGGCCUGCGGGUUGUAAAGUACUUUCAGUCGGGAGGCGUUACCGACAGAAGAAGCACCGGCUAACUCCGUGCCAGCAGCCGCGGUAAUAC
rnacentral:rRNA from 1 species